rnacentral:rRNA from 1 species
AUUGAACGCUGGCGGCAGGCCUAACACAUGCAAGUCGAGCGAGCGGCGGACGGGUGAGUACUGUCUGGUGACUGCCCGAUAGAGGGGGAUAACUGCUGGAAACGGUAGAUAAUCCCACAUACUAUCGUAUCAGCCAAAUGGGAUUAUCUAGUAGGUGAGGUAAUGGCUCACCUAGGCGACGAUACCUAGCUGGGCUGAGAGGAUGAUCAGCCACACUGGGACUGAGACACGGCCCAGACUCCUACGGAGGCAGCAGUGGGGAAGAUUGCACAAUGGGCGCAAGCCUGAUGCAGCCAUGCCGCGUGUAUGAAGAAGGCCCUAGGGUUGUAAAGUACUUUCAGUCGGGAGGCGUUACCGACAGAAGAAGCACCGGCUAACUCCGUGCCAGCAGCCGCGGUAAUUC